GAUGAAGAACGUAGCGAAAUGCGAUACUUGGUGUGAAUUGCAGAAUCCCGUGAACCAUCGAGUCUUUGAACGCAAGUUGCGCCUCAAGCCAUUAGGUUGAGGGCACGUCUGCCUGGGCGUCACAUAUCGUUGCCUGAUGCCAGUUUCCUCGUGAUGGGUGACUGUGCAGGGCGAAUGAUGGCUUCCCGUGAGCAUUGUUGCCUCAUGGUUGGUUGAAAAUUGAGUCCUUGGUAGGGAGCGCCGUGGUAGAUGGUGGUUGAGUGACGAACGAGACCCAAUCAUGUGAGACCCCUACCGAAUUUGGCCUUCAUGACCCACAUGCGUCUUUGGAACGCUCAUGACGAGACCUCAGGUCAGGCGGGGCUACCCGCUGAGUUUAAGCAUAUCAAUAAGCGGAGGA
rnacentral:misc_RNA from 1 species